UCCCCGUUUGUAAUAUUAUUCUUUACUCAAAAAUUGAGUAAUUUAAAAAUUUUAAAAGUAUUACAUUGCAUAUAAUGAUAGAUCCAUCUUUUGAUAAAUGUAUAUAUUCUAUGAUAUCCAUACAUUUAUAUAUUUUUAUAAGAAUCAGAGAAUUAUGUAUAUUGAUUAAUUGAUUAUCCAGUUUGGACAGUUUGAGAAUUAU
rnacentral:lncRNA from 1 species